rnacentral:rRNA from 1 species
UACGUAGGGUGCAAGCGUUGUCCGGAAUUAUUGGGCGUAAAGAGCGCGCAGGCGGUCUGCCAAGUCAGAUGUGAAAGAGGCCGGCUUAACCGGCAAGGGUCAUUUGAAACUGACAGACUAGAGUGCAGCAGAGGAUAGCGGAAUUCCCGGUGUAGUGGUGAAAUGCGUAGAUAUCGGGAGGAACACCAGUGGCGAAGGCGGCUAUCUGGGCUGCAACUGACGCUGAGGCGCGAAGGCUAGGGUAGCAAACAGG